GGGUUGUGAGGUUGUCAAAGCUGAUGCAGGCGAAGGGCCAACUACAGAGCUGGCAUACAGUAUAUGACCCGGAAACCAGAGGGCCAGGAUGCCAGGUGGCUGUCGAGUCAGAAAGCUGAGAUGACCCUAGAGUCAGCCAGAGCAUCACCCCCACAAGCCACAGGAUAUCAGGAAGGCAUUUUCUGUUGGCUGGAGCCACCACUGGAAAACCUGCCAGGACUGAAGAAGUUUUCUCCCCAGAAAGCCAAAGGGAAACACAUUUAUUUCCAUGACACAUUCAUGGUUUUUAAGAGACAAUGUGAUUGUUUUCCUAAUUUUGCAGUGGAAAGCACUGAAUGGAAGAUUCCAGCCGCUGUGACAGCCACUUACUCCCACAAGCACUAAACAAUAGAAGCUUCCAGGCUCAGCUCACUGGUGCCUGAAAUUCUACCACUGGAGCUUCAUUUCUUUGGUUUGACAUUUUGUCCUUUGCAAAAAUGCAAAUACCUGAAGAGCAACCAGCUAAGAGUUUAUGGAGCUGAAGCAGCUGGAUCACAUCAUGAAAUGCUCCACAUGUGAGAUGAAGGAUGUCCACACAUAUGUACACCUGUGAGCAGAUGGCCAUGUGGGAAUGCACACCUGCGUGUGGGUAACCACGUCAAUGUGCUAUGUUUGUACACAGGACAAUGAUUUACUCAUAAUUCUCCAUAUAAAUAUCUUCUUGAUUGAUGUACUUGAUGAAAUUUGCCUUCGGCAAUACUCAUUAUAACAACCAUUAGAACA